rnacentral:rRNA from 1 species
GGACUACCCGGGUAUCUAAUCCCGUUCGCUCCCCUAGCUUUCGCACCUCAGCGUCAGUAACUGGCCAGAAGACCGCCUUCGCCACUGGUAUUCCUCCCGAUAUCUACGCAUUUCACCACUACACCGGGAAUUCUGUCUUCCUCUCCAGCCCUCAAGCGCGGCAGUCUGCAGCGACCGCUGCGGGUUAAGCCCGCAGAUUUCACACCACACUUACCGCACCGCCUACGUGCGCUUUACGCCCAAUAACUCCGGACAACGCUUGCAUCCUACGUAUUACCGCGGCGGCUGGCAC